UACCUUAACUUAGGCUCCGCGGGCCUCCUGA
rnacentral:piRNA from 1 species